ensembl:lncRNA
CCCAGUGCCUCUCCUGCAGCCACCUUGCCACUCUCCCCCUUGCCCCCGUCCUUAUAGCCUGCAGAGGGGGGCCGGGGAGGGGACGCCGCCAUGCUCAGGACCGAGGGGCCAGGGACUGGAGAGCAGGAGUCAAACAGCAGGGACAACAGAUGCGCACACAUGGGAGCCGCCGGGCCCUUUGCCCUGAGAGCUGUCACCACCCCACCUUCACAGAUGAGGAGACCGAGGCUCAGAGAAGCAAGUCACCUACCCCGGCUCAGAGCGCACAGCUGGAGUGAGCGUCAUGAAGCAGUGUUCUCCACGGUCCCCACCCAGCCCCACGUGGGCCUGUGUGAGGAAUGUCGUCCUCAGGCCCCAGACCUCCCGGAUCCGACCUGCAGGGAUCCCGAGGCCUCGCCCGCACAAGGCGCCUGAGCCCCGCCUUCUUGGCCACGGCCAGGCCUCAGUUCCUCCCUCUGCCUGAUCAGGAAAAACUAGUACACGUCACCAACUGCCCGUCAGAGCAGCACCACAUGAUGCACAGGUGGGGAGACGUUGAGGAAACGAGCAAUGAAACAAGGUGGGCACUUGCAAGAGGACAGGGCCGCUGGCCCGGGGUCAGGCAAGUCCACCUCUGCAAUGGGCCGAAACACGCCAAAGAUGCUAAAACCCAGGAGUUUGUAACCACACCAAAAAUAACAAUGACAUAAGUCACCUUUGCAGAGGCCAAAAACCAACUUGUUUUUCUGAAACCCGGUGAACAGUGGGAAGAGCAGAGCGUCUACUCUGCCUGUCCUGGACAGACCUCAGGGCGGUCAAAUGGCUGGUGAGGGAGAAUCUCUUGUCAGAGAAGAUUUACGACUAAGAAAAGAGGACGAAUACAGCUAGAACGCCUUCCCCAUGCAGUGCAAGAAAGGACCUAGGAUGACACCAAACGCCACGACACCAUGGGGGGCCAGCAGACAUGGGUCCUCUCACAGACGUGCAGAACCGCCCCCAUCUCGUGUUCUUGCCAACACGGAACCUGAAACAUGUGUGUCGGGGUGGGAUCCUGACAACGUCCAGCAAAGACGGGCGCACUGACGCCGCCGCAGCUGCAGCCAGAAAAACCCAGAUGGCAGGGACCACAGGACAUGACAAAUAAACCACAGAGAAAAGGGUCGGGGGAGACGAGAAGAUGAAAAACGACUUAUGAGAUGCUAACUGGGAAAAACAGCGACCUAAAGACAUGUUGACACAACCAGGAAACCUGAACACUGAUAGCUGGUGAUUUUGAGGAAUCCUUGCCAAUUAUUUUAGAUGUGAAUAUGGCAUUGUGGUUGUGUGUGGUUUUUUUAGUUCUCAUCUUUUAGAAAUACUUUCUGAAAUGUUUAUGGAUAAAAUAAUAUGACAUCUGGGACUGGCUUAAAAUAACCCAGUGGGGAAGUGGGUGGGGUGUAGACAAAACAAGGCCAGCCUUGUGCUGGCAUCAUGGCCGCGGGUAAUGGAUCACCCUGCGACCUUAGGCUGGCCUCCGUGUGUGUGUUUGGAAGUUCCCUCAAUGAGCAUUUCGCGCGUGUGGACACCAAGUUGCUUUGGGAACUGAUUUUCCCCAGCGACACUGCCUGAGCCAGGAGGGCAGCCAUGCCCGACCUCAGCUCCUCCAUCGGGAGGCACAGCCUUCCUCGUGAAGGAGGAGGAGGAGGAAACUGAUGAGGCGCUUUGCUGGCGACAAUUUGCCGCUAUCUAAAGCUUAGGCCUUAGCGGGACUCACACCUUCCAAGGACGGUCUCUGCUUCUGCCUGCGUGACCUUUGCCUGCACUGUCUUCUGCCGGGAAACGGAGGCUGCAGCGCCUUCCAGUUCUCAGUGGUGGUGAAGAGCUUGGAGCCCGCCCGGCUCACGGCGUCACUCCCGUUGGCAUCGUCACAAUCCAAACCCCAACCCCCGACGACAGAGAAGGUCACGGUCCGCCGACCCCGAGGGGAAGCCACCGCGGACUAUGGACACUCCGCCUUGUUCCACAAGGAAACGGCCUGUUGUGAGAGGACGGCCGUGGCUGCUGCAGUCAGAUAAGCGGGGCUGGACAAAGGGCUUCCUUCCGGACUCUGCGUUCUCGCCGGCCCAGUCUCGCUUGGAAAGGCUGAGGGAGCCGAGGGCGGCCUCCCCGUGGUGUCCAGGGCACUGCCGGGUGGGACGGUGCUCUGUGGCUCUCGGUGGGCUGCGGUCUCCACAGUUGCCGUCAGGAGCAGAGCAGCCAAGCCCAGGGGUGGAGCUGAGCCCACAGCGUCACACGGGCUGUGAAACCUCCAGAGUGUUUUCCUCCUUCCAGCACCGCCGCAGCCAUGCUCCCCCCGCCCGAGGUCCCGGCAAAGGUGGGACGUGCCUCUAUCCACUCUCGUUCCUGCGGUUCAGUCAUCUCUCAGAAUUGGAGCCGCAAGUCGGGAGGUGACCCUGACUUCUGCAGCCCCACGGACAGGCCUGACCACAGAUAUACUCCAAUGCAGCCUCAGACUGAGCCUCCGAACUGCGACGUCAGUGAGGGUUGAGGGUGGUGGCAGCCCAGGGCACAGGGGGCAGAGAGCCCCACGAAGGGGCCGAGAUUGCCACAGACGUGGCCACACGUGGACCAGGGCUGUCAAUGCGGAGGGAGGCCACGUCCCCGUGCGAGAGGCCUGGGGCUGCUCGGUGGUCCCCAGGCCCAGCCUUGCUGCAGAUGUCCCUACAGUGUCUUGAUGUCACAGACACACACCCGCCACCGUGUGGCCGGGGUCAGGGCCAUGCUGCGCAGCAGAAGCCCGAGUUCACAGGACACUUAAGGAAUGGUAGGCCCGUCUGCUCCGAGCGGCAGGCCCAGGCUGUGGGGAACAGCCCCAGGAGGUUCAGGGACCGGCACCUCCCCUCCUGCUGGCUGGCCCGUUCCUGAGCCUGGUGCUGGUUCUGUCUGUGUGGUGGACGCCGGGCCCUCCGAGGACGGACGAGACGUGCAGGGGCACCCAAACCCGGCCGUCUUGCUGAGAACUUAGUCGCGUGGUGGGAAGCCGGUCCUGGCUGAGCCUCUGCAACAGAGGGGUGUGGGGAGAAAGGAUGGGGAAGACGCACCCUGUUAGCAUGAAGCCACGGGGACCAGCGGGCGCUGCAUUCACUUAGAUCUUAUGUUACAGAUAAAGACAAGGAGCAAAGCUUUCCAAAGGCUCUUCCAUAGAUUCUCUAUGAAGGACACAGAACUCCGUCAUCCUCAGCAGACACUAUUAUUAUUACGACUUUUUACUGCAGGGGUUGGGGGCGCAGCUGAAGCUCCCACAAGCCCCCACCCGGCACCCCCAGGACCGGCAGCCACCUGUGCUGGCCAAGUUAUGCCGCGGCCUGGGACAGAAUGGAAAACAUGCGCCCUACAUACACGCUUCAUACGUGCUGUAAACAGUCUUUCUGGGACAUUAAAGUACUGGAGAAAGACACUGAAAAAUUGAAAAGUAGGCAUAUUAAACUCAGAACGUUAAUUUAAGUCAAAAUGCUGUAUUUAUACCAAAAAUAAAAUUUAUUGUAAUUUAACUUUAUUGGAUUUAGUGGAAUGGAAAUAAAGGCAUCAAUAAUAUUUUCAAAAUGCACUUCUGGAAAAAAAUUAACCAUUGAUUGAAAAGACAGGAAACACACGUAUGGGCACACACACAGAAACACAAGAAAACACGGUGAACCACACAGCGAUGUUCAGAGCAGCGGGAUUCAGCCAAAAAGCGGAAACAACCCAAAUGCCCAUCAACUGAACAGACAGAACGUGGCCCACCACACAAUGGAAUGUUAUUCGACCAUAAAAAGGAACGCAGCUCUGACACGCUACCACGUGGACGGGCCGUGGAAACACCGUGCUGGGAGUAAGAAGCCAUCACAGAAGACGUGUGUUGUACGAUUCUGUCAGACACAGACGGACAUGGACCGGCGGGUGCUGGGGCCAGGGGAGGGGGAUGGAGGUGAGUGCUGACUGGGGUGGGGUUUCACUGAAGCGAUGGAAUGUUCUGGAACUAGACAGAGGCGAUGACUACACACACUGUGAACUCACUAAAUGCCACUGAGUUGUUCACAUUGAAACAGUUAAUUUUAUGUGAAUUUCACCUCAAUAAAUUAUUUUUUUUAAGACGUCACGCACACAAGAAGAACGAAUCGAGUUAAUAUUGACCGAAUUCUAGGCCCCGAUGGCGCUGUGGGCUGGUCAGAGACGGGACGUGGCUCUCAGCAGCGACAUGGGGAUUCCUCUUCACGUAGAGGGUGCCCCCCAUGGAUCGCAGGAGAGCCUGGAACCACAGCACAAGGACUGUGGGGAUGUCGAGCCCCACAGAACCAGACUCAAACCGAUCCAGCCACUUCUGCCUCAGACACUGGUCAAGACACUUACCCUUUGUGAGCCCAGGCUGCUCGUCUGUGAAAUGGGAAAGGAAGUAAAAUACUGUAAUUAAGUGCAACAACACAGAGACCCCCAGAGGUAGCCGCAUGCUCCGCCUCCCAUGAUGACAGCCGUGGUUCCGGGAUGCCCGGACCUUGUGCUUCCAGCACCUGGGACGACGCUCGGUGCCUGACAAGCCCCCCAAUUUUCUCUGUGAAAGAGCAUUUUGUCUUGAAUCUACACACAGAAAAGCAUCGACUGGGCUCUUACACGGACAUAACCAACAGCAACACAGCAGAUGACAUCUUCAACCUGAGUUUCACAGAAAUUAAAACAGUCCGCUGAAGCUGGGCGUCCUGUUUUCCACAGGGACACACCAGGGGGGUGGCAGGAAAGCUCGGCUCCUGCAUGUCAGACAUGACUUGAUCCACACACAGUGUCCGGAGCCCGUCUGUGGGUGAACUGAAGUUAGCUGCGCAUCGUCUGCGUCUCCACUGUCCUGGACCCUGUGCAGGGAAUUGGGGUGUCGGCCCCCGAGUGGACCUUCCACGCUGUGGGGUGGGAAGUGGGGCUGCACCAUGGCCUGAGAAGGAGGCAGCAGGCACUUCUGUCUCACUGGCUCUGGCCCCUGCAUCCUUCAGCAAAUGCCGCAGCCUCCCCCCAGGGCCGUGCCCUGCGUCUGGCAAGUCCCACACAGAGCGGGCACAGCUUCCACGAGUCAUUUGCUCUGUUAAAUCCCAGAACGUCCUUACUCACUCCGGGCACCAGAAUGCACCCACCCCCGUGGCCUGGGGCCGAGGAAGCGUGCUCCCCGUGCUUGGCUCUCUCCUCCAUGACCACAGAGGAUCUGGCAGCUCCGAUGGACCAUAACUAAUGGUUGUUUCCCCCUGCCUCUUGCAAGGAAAAGCCAGUAAAAGUAGAUCCAUUUCCGUGUGGCAUACAAAUCAUGCACGUCCCAAGCUCUGAAACUGGGGCAGGAGGAAGCCCUGCAUCCAGGAGCCGCCUUCUCUUCACAUGCACGUCCUCACGGCGCCUGCUGUGUCCAGACCCUCGCGGAGUCCCAGUGGCCGCUGCUCACUCAUCCCGGGCUGGUUAGCUGGAGGCUGGUUGUUUAAGGCCUAGUAACCCCAACAGCGCUGGAAGCAGAUUCCAGCUACUGGCCAGCUCUGCUCUCUGCUCAGCUCCUGGGGAGACCUCCCACGUAUGCAGACAGGAAGACUGCAGCCCCGGAUGUCGCGAGCUGCAGGGGGUGGGGGCUGACUUAAUUCCCGAGCAUUGUCGCUGAGGACCGUGUCAGGGACGAGGGCCGACACGCUUUCUCAGCUCCGCCUUGAAGAAAGCAGGAGACGCCAGCCUGUACUCUGGAGUCGCUUCCACUUCCAGACCGCAAGAGUCUGGUAACAGGUUCCAAGCAGAGAAAUAGAUCCGGGGGGCACGGCUUUGCCCUCCACCUUAGACAGGCCGUGUGUGUGACAGCUGGACCGGAGCGAUCUCCCCGGGGGAGUGAGGAUGACUGGCACCUGCUUGCACGACUCUCGGAAGGCCCCACCUCGAGGUCUGAGGUGCCUGCACACCCACAAAGCAAAUCCCACUGGCACAUCGUAAACAGCAGUGUAAGAGACGGGUGUUGACCCUCACUGUCAGUUCUAAGAACUUGACCAGAUUUAUUUGCUGUACCUGGAAUUUGUCUUGUAGAUGCAACAGUCUGAGUGUCUGCUCUUGGCUCCCAAACAGGAAUUUCAACAAGACUUCCCUUAUUCUCUAAGCGCCAAAUAACGAGUUGCCCAACACACAGACCCUUAGUGAACACGCUUGGGGCCCGGGAGGCACCUCCACGCUCAGGUGGCCUGAGCUCACUAAGCAGACUCCCAACUAAGUCCUGAAAUUGGUAAAUCUCGUCGUGAAGGAAUUCAGCCAGCGGACAGUCUUUCUUGUCCAGAACCAUCGAUUCCGCCACUAGUACAGGACACGGAUUAGACGGUAACUGAUAACAGCCUACGUUGUGAGAAGAUUCAGAAGCCAUCUGAGACGUACGAGGGCCUCUUCCCAAACUCGAAGACAAGGCCAGCGAGCACGCAGCGGGUCCCUCCAUCGUCACACGGGCGUCCUUCCCCAAGCCCACCGGGCCCACGCCACCACCUCGGCACAGCGCCAGGCUCACGCUGCCUUUACCGUGAAUCAGACUCAGACUCCAGGUCACUCAUUCAGGCACAGAGCUCCUCCAGGAGAGAGGCCAAUAACUGCUGCCCAUGAGCAAAGAUAACUUCAAAAGGUACACAUGUGUUCAAUAUACAAUAUUGAUAAAUAUGUAAAUAUUGAAACAUUGAAUUGUUUAAAAUAACCAUAUAAUUGUCA